AUUGAACGCUGGCGGCAUGCUUUACACAUGCAAGUCGAACGGUAACAGGCCUUCGGGUGCUGACGAGUGGCGAACGGGUGAGUAAUGCAUCGGAACGUACCCAGAGGUGGGGGAUAACGCAGCGAAAGCUGUGCUAAUACCGCAUGUGAUCUGAGGAUGAAAGCGGGGGACCGAGCAGCAAUGUUUGGCCUCGCGCCUUUGGAGCGGCCGAUGUCGGAUUAGCUAGUUGGUGGGGUAAAGGCCUACCAAGGCGACGAUCCGUAGCUGGUCUGAGAGGACGACCAGCCACACUGGGACUGAGACACGGCCCAGACUCCUACGGGAGGCAGCAGUGGGGAAUUUUGGACAAUGGGCGCAAGCCUGAUCCAGCAAUGCCGCGUGCGGGAAGAAGGCCUUCGGGUUGUAAACCGCUUUUGGCAGGAACGAAACGGUGUCCGCUAAUACCGGGCGCUAAUGACGGUACCAGCAGAAUAAGCACCGGCUAACUACGUG
rnacentral:rRNA from 1 species